rnacentral:rRNA from 1 species
GACGAACGCUGGCGGCGUGCUUAACACAUGCAAGUCGAACGAAAAGAGGGAAAGAGCUUGCUCUUUCCGGAAUUGAGUGGCAAACGGGUGAGUAACACGUAAACAACCUGCCUUCAGGAUGGGGACAACAGACGGAAACGACUGCUAAUACCGAAUAAGUUCCAAGGGCCGCAUGGCCCAUGGAAGAAAAGGUGGCCUCUACCUGUAGGCUAUCGCCUGAAGAGGGGUUUGCGUCUGAUUAGCUGGUUGGAGGGGUAACGGCCCACCAAGGCGACGAUCAGUAGCCGGUCUGAGAGGAUGAACGGCCACACUGGAACUGAGACACGGUCCAGACUCCUACGGGAGGCAGCAGUGGGGAAUCUUCCGCAAUGGGCGAAAGCCUGACGGAGCAACGCCGCGUGAGUGAUGACGGCCUUCGGGUUGUAAAACUCUGUGAUCCGGGACGAAAAGGCAGAGUGCGAAGAACAAACUGCAUUGACGGUACCGGAAAAGCAAGCCACGGCUAACUACGUG